rnacentral:lncRNA from 1 species
AUGCCACUCACCACUAAUCCACUCUUUAUUUCUCUUUCCAUAGAUUUUAUUAAUUACAAAGGUUCUCUCAUUAACGUUGAAAACAUCACUUCGCAACUGAAACGGAGCGAAAAUGCUAGACUAGAAACAGAAAAUGCACUAACCAAACUGAAAGCCGAUUUUGGUGACAGAGAGAAAGAUCUUGCAGAUUCGAAAGAAAGGGUCAGAGCUCUGCAAGAAGAAUGUAAGAAGUUUACUGAUCAGCUAGCAGCAGUCACCACGAAGUGCUUAUCCUUAUCUACGGAGAAUGAGAAACUGACAGCUGCUGUUCUCCUAGUUCACAACAUAACGAAACCAUUCAUCAUACCCCAGGAAGGAUUCCUGAGUUCAAAUGAAACAGAUCUCAACUUAAUUCCUGUCAAAGACAUCAAAAAAGAAGCAGUAGAAAGCAGUAAUUCAGCAUGA